GAUGAACGCUGGCGGCGUGCCUAAUACAUGCAAGUCGAGCGAAAAGACGAGGCACUUGCUUCUCUCACGUUAGCGGCGCAGGGGUGAGUAACACGUGGAGAACGUACCUAUAAGACUGGGAUAAAUUCGGGAAAACGGAGCCAAUUACCGCAAAUAUAUUCAACCGCAUGGUUCAAUAGUUAAAGGCCGCUUUGCUGCCGCUUAUCGCAGGUUCCGCUUCGCAUUAGGUUGUUGGUAAGGUAACGGCUUACCAAGGCAACGAUGCGUAGCCGACCUGAGAGGAUGAUCGGCCACACUGGAGCUGAGACACGGUCCAGACUCCUACGGGAGGCAGCAGUAGGGAAUCUUGCGCAAUGGGCGAAAGCCUGACGCAGCAACGCCGCGUGUGUGAUGAAGGCCUUCGGAUCGUAAAGCUCUGUUAGCAGGGAAGAACAAAUUUGUGAGUAAAUAUGCACGUAUUGACGGUACCUGAACAGGAAGCCACGGCUAACUACGUG
rnacentral:rRNA from 1 species